UGAAAUCAAUCAAAAGAUGGAAGGCAAAACUGUUUUUCUAAGUGUGCUCAUAAUGAGUUUGGUCAUGGCACAAAUUCAAGUGGAGGCAAAGAGUUGCUGCCCAACUACGACUGCUAGAAAUAUCUAUAACACUUGCCGUUUUGCGGGAGGCUCCCGACCAACGUGUGCAUCUCUCAGUGGAUGCAAAAUCGUUAACGGCAAAUGUCCUAACGGAUAUACACAUGACACUCUCCAAAACUCAGGUGAUGCUGUCAAUGAAUACUGUAAGUUGGGAUGUACAUCUUCUGUGUGCGCUGCCAUGG